rnacentral:rRNA from 1 species
GACGGGGGAUGCAAGUGUUAUCCGGAAUCACUGGGCGUAAAGCGUCUGUAGGUGGUUAAAUAAGUCAACUGUUAAAUCUUGAGGCUCAACCUCAAAAUCGCAGUCGAAACUGUUUGACUAGAGUAUAGUAGGGGUAAAGGGAAUUUCCAGUGGAGCGGUGAAAUGCGUAGAGAUUGGAAAGAACACCGAUGGCGAAGGCACUUUACUGGGCUAUUACUAACACUGAGAGACGAAAGCUAGGGUAGCAAAUGGG